UUAAUUUUAUUUCACAUCUUUUCCAUAUGAGGCUUGAAUUUUUUUAAUUUUGUGUAUUUUAUUAUUUAUUUGAAUUUGAACAAACGUAAUAGCAAGCAUCGAAAAUGUCUACGGACGGACACUUUUUCCUUGGCAGAACGCAAACAAAAGUCAAACAACAAGACAACAGUAUUGAAACAGAGCUGAUUCGUCCCACUUCGUGAUUUAAUUGCAUAUGCAAUGAAAAUUGUGCGAAACUAUCGCUACCAUUCUGCUCAUAGAACUCAGUACGACUUGCACGGAACUCAGUACGAACUCAAUACGACUUGUUCGCAUUAUCUUCGUCACUAUUUUUUUAUAGUGCGUUUUGACAGUUGUUCGUGUGAAAAGUCAAAGUCAGUACCAGGCUUAAUGACGAAAAUCAAAAAAUUGUAUGUCGGCUGAUUGCUUGUUGAGUGAAUCCUGCUACAAAAUAUGGCAUAUAAAUAUCAAAUAUUCAUAUGCAGCAGCCCCACCCCUAAAACCAGACAUGAAAGUCAUGCUUCACUUAUAGAAGGUUAGGUCAAUUGCGAAAACAUUAAGUGGAUAGGCUCCAUGAACAUCAUUAAGGAUGACAUCCUUACAUGAUGUUCAAUCUUUUCAACCGAUUGAAAAUGUCAUCAAAUAGGAGACAACGUAAACAAAGAAUGAAUGUAAGAAGAGAACAAGUUGACAUCCACAAUGACUAGUACUGCCAAAAAUUAAAAAAAUUGUAUGUCAGCUGAUUGCUUAACCUUAUUUAGUGAAUCCUGCAAAUGUAUGGCAUAAGCAAUUAAGAACACCGUUUGAUAAUUUCUGUAUAAGUUAUAUCAAUUAAACAAAUUAUUAGCAAAUCCAGUUUUAAUUUGGGGGCUGGUACUAUGCUCAUUUUUCAAUGUAACGUUUGUACAUCACAUCGCACAAAUAAAAAUUUAUUAAUUACUAUUAGUCCAUAGUG